UACUCGAGUGGCGAACGGGUGAGUAACACGUGGGUGAUCUGCCCUGCACUUCGGGAUAAGCCUGGGAAACUGGGUCUAAUACCGGAUAGGAGCCAUUUUUAGUGUGAUGGUUGGAAAGUUUUUUCGGUGUAGGAUGAGCCCGCGGCCUAUCAGCUUGUUGGUGGGGUAAUGGCCUACCAAGGCGGCGACGGGUAGCCGGCCUGAGAGGGUGGACGGCCACAUUGGGACUGAGAUACGGCCCAG
rnacentral:rRNA from 1 species